rnacentral:rRNA from 1 species
CCUACGGGAGGCAGCAGUGGGGGAUAUUGCACAAUGGGGGGAACCCUGAUGCAGCGACGCCGCGUGUGUGAAGAAGCGCCUCGGCGCGUAAAGUCCUGUCAGCAGGGAAGAGAAUGGCGGUACCUGAAGAAGAAGCCCCGGCUAACUACGUGCCAGCAGCCGCGGUAAUACGUAGGGGGCCAGCGUUUUCCGGAUUUACUGGGUGUAAAGGGGGCGGAGACGGCGAUGCAAGUCAGGAGUGAAAGCCCCGGGCCCAACCCCGGGACUGCUCUGGGAACUUCGUUGCUGGAGUGCAGGAGGGGCAGGUGGAAUUCCUGGUGUAGCGGUGAAAUGCGUAGAUAUCAGGAGGAACACCGGUGGCGAAGGCGGCCUGCUGGACUGCAACUGACGUUGAGGCACGAAAGCGUGGGGAGCAAACAGGAUUAGAUACCCUUGUAGUC